UACGUAGGGGGCUAGCGUUGUCCGGAAUUAUUGGGCGUAAAGAGCUUGUAGGCGGUUUGUCGCGUCUGCUGUGAAAUUUCGGGGCUCAACCCCGAACUUGCAGUGGGUACGGGCAGGCUAGAGUGUGGUAGGGGAGACUGGAAUUCCUGGUGUAGCGGUGAAAUGCGCAGAUAUCAGGAGGAACACCGAUGGCGAAGGCAGGUCUCUGGGCCACUACUGACGCUGAGAAGCGAAAGCAUGGGGAGCGAACAGG
rnacentral:rRNA from 1 species